UACAGAGGCCUCAAGCGUUAAUCGGAAUCACUGGGCUUAAAGGGUGCGUAGGCGGGGCCGCAAGUGCUUUGUGAAAUCCCAUGGCUUAACCAUGGAACUGCUUGGCAGACUGCGGUCCUUGAGGUUGGUAGGGGCUGCUGGAACUCUAGGUGGAGCGGUGAAAUGCGUAGAUAUCUAGAGGAACGCCAAAGGCGAAGGCAGGCAGCUGGGCCAAUUCUGACGCUGAGGCACGAAAGCGUGGGGAGCGAACGGG
rnacentral:rRNA from 1 species